UACGUAGGGUGCAAGCGUUGUCCGGAAUUAUUGGGCGUAAAGAGCUCGUAGGCGGUCUGUCGCGUCGGCUGUGAAAACCUGGGGCUUAACUCCGGGCCUGCAGCCGAUACGGGCAGACUAGAGUUCGGCAGGGGAGACUGGAAUUCCUGGUGUAGCGGUGAAAUGCGUAGAUAUCGGAAGGAACACCUGUGGCGAAAGCGGCUCACUGGACCAUAACUGACGCUGAGGCACGAAAGCUAGGGGAGCAAACAGG
rnacentral:rRNA from 1 species